CCUACGGGAGGCAGCAGUGGGGAAUAUUGCACAAUGGGCGAAAGCCUGAUGCAGCAACGCCGCGUGAGCGAUGAAGGCCUUCGGGUCGUAAAGCUCUGUCCUCAAGGAAGAUAAUGACGGUACUUGCGGAGGAAGCCCCGGCUAACUACGUGCCAGCAGCCGCGGUAAUACGUAGGGGGCUAGCGUUAUACGGAAUUACUGGGCGUAAGGGGGGCGUAGGUGGUUUCUUAAGUCAGAGGUGAAAGGCUACGGUUCAACCGUAGUAAGCCUUUGAACAUGGGGAACUUGAGUGCAGGAGAGGAGAGUGGAAUUCCUAGUGUAGCGGUGAAAUGCGUAGAUAUUAGGAGGAACACCAGUUGCGAAGGCGGCUCUCUGGACUGUAACUGACACUGAGGCACGAAAGCGUGGGGAGCAAACAGGAUUAGAUACCCGUGUAGUC
rnacentral:rRNA from 1 species